GGCGGUGUAGCUCAGUUGGUUAGAGCACACGGUUCAUACCCGUGGCGUCGGAGGUUCAAAUCCUCCCACCGCUA
rnacentral:tRNA from 1 species